AUUGAACGCUGGCGGCAGGCUUAACACAUGCAAGUCGGGCGGAAACGAAGAUAGCUUGCUAUCAGGCGUCGAGCGGCGGACGGGUGAGUAACGCGUAGGAAUCUACCUAAUGGUGGGGGAUAGCCCGGGGAAACUCGGAUUAAUACCGCAUACACUCUACGGAGGAAAGCAGGGGCUCUUAGGACCUUGCGCCAAUAGAUGAGCCUGCGUGAGAUUAGCUAGUUGGUGAGGUAAUGGCUCACCAAGGCGACGAUCUCUAGCUGGUCUGAGAGGAUGAUCAGCCACACUGGGACUGAGACACGGCCCAGACUCCUACGGGAGGCAGCAGUGGGGAAUAUUGGACAAUGGGGGCAACCCUGAUCCAGCCAUGCCGCGUGUGUGAAGAAGGCCUUCGGGUUGUAAAGCACUUUCAGCGAGGAGGAAGGCUGUAUGGCUAUUACCCAUACAGAUUGACGUUACUCGCAGAAGAAGGACCGGCUAACUCCGUGCC
rnacentral:rRNA from 1 species